rnacentral:tRNA from 1 species
GCGGAAGUGGCGGAAUUGGUAUACGUGUACGUUUGAGGUGCGUAUGAGGCAACUCGUGGGGGUUCGAGUCCCCCCUUUCGCA